GAUUAUGGCUCAGGAUGAACGCUAGCGGGCAGGCUUAACACAUGCAAGUCGAGGGGCAGCGCGAGUAGCAAUACUUGGCGGCGACCGGCGCAAGGGGUGCGUAACGCGUGAGCAACAUGCCCGUAUCAGGGGGAUAAUCCAGGGAAACUUGGUCUAAUACCCCAUAGUAAUUUUGUAAGGCAUCUUAUAAGAUUUAAAGCUUUGGUGGAUACGGAUUGGCUCGCGUGACAUUAGCUGGAUGGUAAGGUAACGGCUUACCAUGGCUAUGAUGUCUAGGGGUUCUGAGAGGAAGGUCCCCACACUGGAACUGAGACACGGUCCAGACUCCUACGGGAGGCAGCAGUGAGGAAUAUUGGACAAUGGAUGGAAAUCUGAUCCAGCCAUGCCGCGUGAAAGGAAGAAGGUCCUAUGGAUUGUAAACUUCUUUUGUAUGGGAGCAAUAAGGCCUACGAGUAGGUUGAUGAGAGUACCAUACGAAUAAGCACCGGCUAACUCCGUGCCAGCCGCCGC
rnacentral:rRNA from 1 species